AUGGUGUCUGCUAGCACCGUAAUAUGUCCAUCCAUUAACCACUAUUUUGUCGAAAUACAGGCCUCUGCUUCUGGUUAUUACAAGCUAGGUAGUAUUGUGGGAGUGAUCGGAAACUUCUACACGACUCAUCACCAUCAUGUCCAUGCCCCAGAAUUGGGUGAGUGCUCAAGGAAGAAUUUUGUAGUUCCACUGUUGGAUUCCAAGCAGGCAAUUCAUGAUCAGCCUUGCGCAAGCUAA
rnacentral:rRNA from 1 species